AUCUUCAGGGCAGGGAGAGUUUCCCGACCGGCGGUAAAGUCCGCGAGCCGAAAGGCAUGAACCGGUGUGAUUCCGGUACCGACAGUAUAGUCUGGAUGGUAGAAGAUG
rnacentral:ncRNA from 1 species